CCUACGGGCGGCAGCAGUGGGGAAUAUUGGACAAUGGGGGCAACCCUGAUCCAGCCAUGCCGCGUGUGUGAAGAAGGCCCUCGGGUUGUAAAGCACUUUCAGUGAGGAAGAACGCCUGGUGGUUAAUACCCAUCAGGAAAGACAUCACUCACAGAAGAAGCACCGGCUAACUCCGUGCCAGCAGCCGCGGUAAUACGGAGGGUGCGAGCGUUAAUCGGAAUUACUGGGCGUAAAGCGCGCGUAGGUGGCUUGAUAAGCCGGUUGUGAAAGCCCCGGGCUCAACCUGGGAACGGCAUCCGGAACUGUCAAGCUAGAGUGCAGGAGAGGAAGGUAGAAUUCCCGGUGUAGCGGUGAAACGCGUAGAGAUCGGGAGGAAUACCAGUGGCGAAGGCGGCCUUCUGGACUGACACUGACACUGAGGUGCGAAAGCGUGGGUAGCAAACAGGAUUAGAUACCCGAGUAGUC
rnacentral:rRNA from 1 species